GAUGAAGAACGUAGCGAAGUGCGAUAAGUAAUGUGAAUUGCAGAAUUCCGUGAAUCAUCGAAUCUUUGAACGCAUAUUGCGCUCUUUGGUAUUCCGAAGAGCAUGCUUGUUUGAGUAUCAGUAAACACCUCAAAGCUUUUGGAUUUUUUAAUCGAAAAGCUUUGGACUUGAGCAAUCCCAACACCAAUCUUUUUGAGAUCGGUGGCGGGUUGCUUGAAAUGCAGGUGCAGCUGGACAUUCUCCUGAGCUAAAAGCAUAUUCAUUUAGUCCCGUCAAACGGAUUAUUACUUUUGCUGCAGCUAACAUAAAGGGAGUUUGACCGUAUUGGCUGACUGAUGCAGGAUUUCACAAGGGUCGGCAACGAUUCUUGUUAAACUCGAUCUCAAAUCAAGUAAGACUACCCGCUGAACUUAAGCAUAUCAAUAAGCGGAGGA
rnacentral:misc_RNA from 1 species